ACACCAGCGCCAUUCUUCCUACGUAUUCGAAAUCAGUUGUAUCCUUUCCGGACGAGUAAAUAUUUAAAAACUUGAAGAUUAUAAGAAUGUUUCUAUUUAAUUCAAGAAAUAUAAGAUUCAUAAAUAUAUGUAGAAGAUACUAUUCAACAAAUCGACCCAUUGGUGUAUUCGGUGCCCCUUUUAAUAAAGGUCAAGUGAGUAUAUUCAGUUUUUUUAUGGCGCAUUAUUAAAAAUUGAUAUUAUUUGUUGUUUAUUUUCUAUAAAUUGCUUGGUAGAUUAUCUUAAAUAUUUGAUAUUACAAAACACAAAUAAGAGUCGAAAAUAUUUUGGUAAGUACUAAAGAAAGUGAUAAAUUUUAUUAUAGUAAACAGGUAACGAUAUAUAGUUGUUUUUAUAUCGAAGAGAAUUUCGCAAUAACUCAUUAUGUAAUCUAACGAUAAUUUUAAAAACAGAGAAUAAAAUUUUGAUAAAAAUUGAUUAUUAUCUUAAUGAAUCUUAUAUUUUUAUUAUGUUGUGCUGUGAGUUUUAUUUAUAUAAAAAGCACCCUUCUUUCUUUUACUACAGUUUGUUACUUAUUCAAUACAAAAGUAUAUUCUUAUAUAACACUUUCAUUUUGAACUAUUCACUAUUGAACUGGAAGAGAGAGUUCUUAUUUAUACUGUUGCAAUUUUAAAUUGUACUUAAAUUAGGCUAUAACGAACUUUUCACUUUCUUUCUAACUUUCUAUUUUCUUGAAAAUCUUCCAAUUAAAUUAUACUGUUCUAACCUGGAGAAAAAGAACGCUUAGUGUGACUAAUAAAUUCCCCUAAUCUAUUAUUAAUGAAAUACAAGCUAUUAGAAUUAAAUAGAGUACAUUUUCAGCCAAGACCAGGAGUUAAGUAUGCUCCAGAAGCUUUGAGAAAUGUGAAUCUCAUAAAGAACUUGUCAUUAAUGGGUCACGAAGUUAUUGACCAUGGCGAUCUAAAAUUUGAAGCUGUACCCAAUGAUACAGCAAUCUACAAUAUACAAACACCUAGGACAAUUGGAAAAGCUGCAAAACAGAUAUCCGAUAAAGUUGAAGAAAUAUUAAGAUGUGGUCAAACUGUAGUCACUUUAGGAGGGGAUCAUAGUAUGUCUGUUGCUACAAUACAUGGCCACGCGAAGGUCGAAAAUGAUUUAGCUAUUAUUUGGAUUGAUGCACAUCCAGAUAUCAAUACUCCUUUAACAUCUGCUAGUGGGAAUAUUCAUGGCAUGCCACUAUCUUUUCUAACUAAGGAGCUUCAACCAUACGUACCAAAAUUACCGGGUUUUGAGUGGUUAAAACCAUGCAUAAGCGUAAAGGACAUCGCUUUUAUAGGAGUGAGAGACAUUGAUAAAGCUGAAAGAUACAUUAUCGACAAAUACAAUAUUACUACGUUUACUAUGCGAGAUAUUGACAAACUCGGUAUGGAAUGCGUUCUAGAAAGAACCAUAGAAGCAAUAAAUCCAACGCUGAAUAAGAAAAUUCAUAUGAGUUUUGAUAUUGAUUCACUUGAUCCUGCAUUUGCUCCAAGUACUGGAACACCAGUACCCUAUGGACUGAGUCUUCGCGAAGGUAUGUUUCUUGUGGAGGAAAUCGCGUUAACAAAUAAAGUUACUGGAAUUGACUUAGUCGAAAUAAACCCUGAUCUUGGCUCUCAACGAGACCAAUUUACCACGAUUUCUGCUGCGGCUGAGGUUCUCUACGCCUUCUUUGGAAAGAGAACUAAAACCCAACUUCCUUCUGACUACGUACUGCCUAAACCAUAACUGACUGAAAGUGAAAAAUGUAAAAACUUUAGCGGGGCUAAUAAAUUUUUGUUCAACUUUAUUUAAAAUUACAAGAACUUUCACAUUGUAACAAUACUUAAAGAUAUGCAAUUCAUAUUCUUUCACUUUACAGUCCGUUAUCUGAUUAGGAAUAUCUUCUUAAUAGUAUUAGACAAACACUAGACGAAUCUUGUUCACCAAGGAUAAAAAAUUUCGAAUUUACAGUCGUUCUUACGGAUUAUACUACUGAAUCGGUUUAUUGUAUACAAAGGCUAAGAUUAAAUAUAAUCGACAAGGAUAAUGGAAAUAUUCAUUUAAAGUAUUUAUUGAACGGGGAUAUACUUAAAAAAAGAGAAAAUCCUUUAUCCAUAAAAUAGAUUUAUGAAUGAACACAAACCCAGUCAAUGAGCGAUUUUGACUUAUUUAGCGAUUUAUAGUAAGGGUAUAAAAAAUUUAGUAGAUUAUUCAUAUAUAAAAAUAUUAAGAAUAAUUUACUUAUGUCGAAUAAAU
rnacentral:misc_RNA from 1 species